UCUCUCCAGCUGGCAGAGGACAGGAGCAGAGCGGCCGAGCACCUGCGCCGGGCCCUGCGCUACCUGCAGAGCCCACAGGAGCCCCUGCGAGAGGCGGCCAUCAGGUUCAUGGGGAUCGCCGGGCAGAGCUUGAGGGGGCAGCAGCAAGAGCUCCAGCUGAUCUGCAGUGCCCUUGAAGACCAAACAAAUGAUGUCAGCCUCGCUGUUGGAAGCCUUGCAAUUGAAACACUCAAGUCCGUAGGCCCGGCUCCGAUCUCCAUGUUCCAGCGGCUCCGAAAUCACUUGCGCAGGGCAUGGAAGAGACGGCCUCGCCUGUCACGGCUCGGCU